CCUACGGGUGGCAGCAGUGAGGAAUAUUGGUCAAUGGGCGCGAGCCUGAACCAGCCAAGUCGCGUGAGGGAAGACGGUCCUAUGGAUUGUAAACCUCUUUUGUCGGGGAGCAAAAGACGCCACGCGUGGCGUUCCGAGAGUACCCGAAGAAAAAGCAUCGGCUAACUCCGUGCCAGCAGCCGCGGUAAUACGGAGGAUGCGAGCGUUAUCCGGAGUUAUUGGGUUUAAAGGGUGCGCAGGCGGAAGAUCAAGUCAGCGGUAAAAUUGAGAGGCUCAACCUCUUCGAGCCGUUGAAACUGGUUGUCUUGAGUGAGCGAGAAGGAUGCGGAAUGCGUGGGGUAGCGGUGAAAUGCAUAGAUAUCACGCAGAACUCCGAUUGCGAAGGCAGCAUACCGGCGCUCAACUGACGCUCAUGCACGAAAGUGUGGGUAUCGAACAGGAUUAGAUACCCCAGUAGUC
rnacentral:rRNA from 1 species